GUCUGCAAGUCGAGCGGGGGAAGGUAGCUUGCUACCGGACCUAGCGGCGGACGGGUGAGUAAUGCUUAGGAAUCUGCCUAUUAGUGGGGGACAACAUCUCGAAAGGGAUGCUAAUACCGCAUACGUCCUACGGGAGAAAGCAGGGGAUCUUCGGACCUUGCGCUAAUAGAUGAGCCUAAGUCGGAUUAGCUAGUUGGUGGGGUAAAGGCCUACCAAGGCGACGAUCUGUAGCGGGUCUGAGAGGAUGAUCCGCCACACUGGGACUGAGACACGGCCCAGACUCCUACGGGAGGCAGCAGUGGGGAAUAUUGGACAAUGGGGGGAACCCUGAUCCAGCCAUGCCGCGUGUGUGAAGAAGGCCUUAUGGUUGUAAAGCACUUUAAGCGAGGAGGAGGCUACUCUAGUUAAUACCUAGAGAUAGUGGACGUUACUCGCAGAAUAAGCACCGGCUAACUCUGUGCCAGCAGCCGCGGUAAUACAGAGGGUGCGAGCGUUAAUCGGAUUUACUGGGCGUAAAGCGUGCGUAGGCGGCUUAUUAAGUCGGAUGUGAAAUCCCCGAGCUUAACUUGGGAAUUGCAUUCGAUACUGGUGAGCUAGAGUAUGGGAGAGGAUGGUAGAAUUCCAGGUGUAGCGGUGAAAUGCGUAGAGAUCUGGAGGAAUACCGAUGGCGAAGGCAGCCAUCUGGCCUAAUACUGACGCUGAGGUACGAAAGCAUGGGGAGCAAACAGGAUUAGAUACCCUGGUAGUCCAUGCCGUAAACGAUGUCUACUAGCCGUUGGGGCCUUUGAGGCUUUAGUGGCGCAGCUAACGCGAUAAGUAGACCGCCUGGGGAGUACGGUCGCAAGACUAAAACUCAAAUGAAUUGACGGGGGCCCGCACAAGCGGUGGAGCAUGUGGUUUAAUUCGAUGCAACGCGAAGAACCUUACCUGGGCCUUGACAUACUAGAACUUUCCAGAGAUGGAUUGGNGCCUUCGGGAAUCUAGAUACNGNGCUGCAUGGCUGUCGUCAGCUCGUGUCGGAGAGUUGGGUUAAGUCCCCAACGAGCGCAAC
rnacentral:rRNA from 1 species